CGGAAAAGACGCCAAUGGCUCUGGGGACACCCUGAGGACGCCCUUCCCAUCCCAGAGGGAAAGCGGAAUAGUGGGUAACUCUUAAUUCUGCUUCCCAGAUGUAGCCGAUACCAGAUGGCUCCUUUAGAGAGGACCCUGAGCAAUGGCCUUAACUGGGAUCGACUCCGAAUGCCCUGAUUUGUAACUUUCCCACUGAGUCACGUGGAUGGCAGUGGACUUCAGCUCUGCGGGCUGUGCCCUGGUUUCAACUUUGCACGCUGGCCUAGAAAGUCCCAUCCAAAAGCCCACAGAUGCGAAUAAAUUACGGACAGCGCCC